rnacentral:rRNA from 1 species
GAUGAACGCUGGCGGCGUGCCUAAUACAUGCAAGUCGAGCGAACGGACGAGAAGCUUGCUUUUCUGAUGUUAGCGGCGGACGGGUGAGUAACACGUGGAUAACCUACCUAUAAGACUGGGAUAACUUCUGGUAACCGGUGCUCAUACCGGAUAAUAUUUUGACCCGCAUGGUUCAAGAGUGAAAGACGGUCUUGCUGUCACUUAUAGAUGGAUCCGCGCUGCAUGAGCUAGUUGGUAAGGUAACGGCUUACCAAGGCAACGAUGCAUAGCCGACCCGAGAGGGGGGACGGCCAGAUGGGAAGUGAGACAGGGCACCGACUCCUACGGGGGGCAGCAGUAGGGAAUCUUCCGGGAUGGGGGAAAGCCGGAUUGAGCAACGUCGCGGGAGGGAUGAAGGUCUUAGGAUCGUAGAACGAUGUUAGUAGGGAAGAAGAUAUGUGUAAGUAACUGUGAACAACCUGACGGUACCUAAUCAGAAAGCCACGGCUAACUACGUG